AUCAUGCCCAUUUGUUUUUUGGCUACCACAAGGUUAGCAGCUUUGUUCAACAAUGCCGUGAUCGGAUGGAUGUUGCCAUUAGCCCAGAGACAGUGCAAGCUGCCAGUCGCUGGAACUUCUGAAACAAUGAGCCAAAGUGAAUCACCUUCCUUCAAACUGUUCCAGGUCUUUGUCAUAGCAACAGGAAGAGUGACAGCCAUACGAUACUGAUAUCCAGAGAAGUAAGGUUGCUUCUAUAACCCUGUGUAAUGUUCAGAAGUCUUUGGAACUGAACUUCUGUGGGAGAAGAAAAAUAUGUGGACCAGUGGAGUAGAAGUCUCUAAACAGAAGCUACUGGGAAAUUCUUGGGAUGGCUUAGAAGACUAAAAGAUGGGACGAACUCAGCCAGAAAGGCAGGGUCUUUUUCAGAACUAAGAGCUCACCAAAUCUAGCUAUGCUAGCUAGUCAUCUUGCUCCAUGAAUUCUGUUUUCCUUGGAAGCCCAGGAUUGCAUGUAGCUGUCAUGCCUACUCAGCUUUAGAGGAACACUUAGGAAAUUACUGAAGUAUGCCUGUGAAUGUGAAGUGACAAGACUUUUCUUGGGAAGACUCAACACAACACCUAGGGAGGAAACCCACAGGCAGACCAAAGUCCAGCUUGGCGAAUCAUGAGUUUUAUUGGGGUCAUUUAUAUGAAUAAAGGUUAAGGGUUACUUAUAGGAGGAGAAAUGACUCAAAGACACAGCACCACCAAAGUCCACCCCAGCACGAGUGACUGGAGCACACUGAACAACUUACAGGCACCUCAACAGGCCUAAAAGUAUCAGAGUCCCCAGUCAUAGGUAGAAAGCUCUGAAACCACAAAUCCAAACAUUGUUCCCUCAGGAACUUUUCACGGAGAUUGAAGACUUUCUGACGCAUUGUUUCUCACCGUUUCCCUCCUCCAAAUUUUCAGUAUUUCCUGUGUGUCAAAGCAAAGAUUCUCAUCAAGUCUUCUGCAUACUACACCAGUCCCUGAAGCAAGCCCGCUCGUAACAAGACAGAAAUAUGUUUUGACCACGGUUUUCCUGCCCAUGGAUAUGGUCACCGUGUCUGGUGGUUUUUGCAAGGCUCAAGUGGAUUAACUGCUUCCCAGCCUUAGAGACUUGGAUGAACUCUCAAGCAGAAUCUCAUGGCAGAUGGCUGGGAACCUCGCUCAUUAGAAUACUCCCUGUUCCAGAGCUGAGGCACGUUUAGAGGGCAGGUCCUAAACUUCAAUCUCUCCUUUGCUGGAUCUUCGCUGGAAGCAGGCAUCCUCACUUGGAGCAUCAAGAGGAUGACAGUGGGCCAAGGUACACAGAGCUGAAUGAAGAGCAAGCAUAUCUUCUUGGACUACACAUGUUAGUAGGAGAUUUUGG
rnacentral:lncRNA from 1 species